GGAGAUACUAGUGUUCCGGGUCCAGACGGGAAGCCUGUAAGUGUAUAUUUAUACUUUAUAUUCAAUCUGCCAGUUUUCAUGACAUAUUUACAACCAUAUUUGACCUAAUGUUCUUCAUAAAUUCAUGUGUUAGCAAACACCUCAUUGUACAUAUCUACACAAGUCGGAGAUAUCAGAAACCGAUCGGGCCUCAACAGAGAGAGGCCGGCCCGUCCCGGUAGCAGAUGUGCAGUCCAUGUGCACACAGGUGGGGCCCGCUGAUGAACUGUGGGGUUCUUCUGUGUUUCCAGGGCCCACCGGGCACAGAUGGAGAGCCUGGGAGCCCUGGCGUGGUGGUUCGUACCCCUCUUCUGUUAUGUGUAUCAAAAGCCAUUCGAGGUUUAGAGGUCCGCGGUGGAUGUGAGAGUGGGGACAGGGGAGUGCGCCCCCCCUCACCUUUCUUUUGAUGGCAACUCGUUGCCGUACUGCUGUUCUCAAAGUUGGUAAAAGUAAUAAAUAAAAGGACCACAGGUCGGGUUAAAUGUGUAGACAUGCCUUUCAUAUUUCCUGCAAUGUUUGCAAGUGCUGUUAUGGUUUACAUCCGUAUGCUCAUCCUGUGUUUCUGUGGUGGUGCGUGCGUGCUUGCGUGCGUGUGUGUGUGUGCGUGUGUGUGUGUGUGUGUGUGUGUGUGUGUGUGUGUGUGUGUGUGUGUGUGUGUGUGUGUGUGUGUGUGUGUGUGUGUGUGUGUGUGUGUGUGUGUGUGUGUGUCAUAGGGCCCUGCUGGUCCUGUCGGUGGAAAAGGAGAAGUGGGAAGGUGGAAAUCCCCUUUAACAGAAGGUGUGAAGUCAACUGCUCUUUCAAAAGAUAGAAACCAUCAAAUAUAUAUCAGGUCAUUUACCGGUACGCUGUGUGGAGUAUGGUGUAAUUCUUGGUAACGGUCACACAUUUAUCAGCCCACAUUGCUCUCUUCAUUGCACAACACGUCUCCCCACUAUAGAUGCCUGAACUGGUAAUCCUUUGUUGCCCAAUAGGCCCAUGUCUCCUGGCCACACACACUGCACACACACAGACCACUUCCUAAUAGUUUAUGAUCCACUGCCUCUGACUCUGUCAGACAGCGUUGUUCAAUCGUCCAAUGUUGAGCCACACUUCAGAAGGAUGUAUAUCCGUUUUUUAAUCCUUUCGCAAUGUCAGAAUGAGACAACAUUUCAUCCCAAAUCAAUAUUUAAUUCAAAUAAAAUGUUGGGGUACUUCUUAACUCACCAACCCAUAUGUAACCUAAAGAUAUUUGUUACCCUCAGCCAUUGUGCUGAGUAAGAUGUGUGACUUCGAUGUUUCAGGAUCCUUCGUAUCAAAGGGUUGUUCUGUCCGUCUGUCCGUCAGAGGGGGGCUGCGGGGGUUCCUGGUGCCAGGGGGGCCGAGGGGAGGACGGGUGCAGACGGGCACCCAGGACACGAGGGCAUCCGGGGCGUCCCGGGGCAGGACGGGUCGCCAGGGCAACCAGGAGUCAACGGCUACCCGGGGACUCCAGUGAGUUGGACCACUUUCCUCUCCCAAUGGAAUUACAAAUGUCAUCUUUUCCUUCCUUUUAGUAAAAAACGGAGUAAAGGCCAAUCAGGCAACGUGCAGUCAGGUACUAUGUCGUUAAGAUGUGGUUAGAUGCAGG
rnacentral:lncRNA from 1 species